UACGUAGGGUGCGAGCGUUGUCCGGAAUUAUUGGGCGUAAAGAGCUCGUAGGCGGUGUGUCGCGUCGGCCGUGAAAACCUGGGGCUCAACUCUGGGCGUGCGGUCGAUACGGGCAUCACUAGAGUUCGGCAGGGGAGACUGGAAUUCCUGGUGUAGCGGUGAAAUGCGUAGAGAUCAGCAGGAAUACCCGUGGCGAAGGCGGCCCCCUGGGCCGAACCUGACGCUGAGGCGCGAAGGCUAGGGGAGCGAACGGG
rnacentral:rRNA from 1 species